UAGCGUUAGAGGCCAAUGGCCCUCCUCUCUAUCUUCCAAGAUUUGUAUCUUAUCCAAACUCUGUCUCUCUCUCUCUGUGUCGAUGCGAAAGAUGUUAACCAUGUCAAUUCAACCAAGCAUAACAAGCCGCCCUUCCUCUGUUUUCAAGAACAACUCCUCCGCGCCGUCAUUUUGUGUGAAUCUUCUCACCUGAAAUCCAAGCCCACAGAGGAUGCGGAACAACCUCACAGUUAGGUGCAGUGGCUGUGAAGACUGUGGGGCGGCCCAAUCUGGUGUUGAAGUUCAUAUGGAUGGAGAAGAGAAGAACAUCGGUGUGGGAUUGGAGCAGAGCAUACCGGGGCAUGGCACCAUUCCGCUGAGCCCUUACUUCUUCUGGCCGAGGAAAGAUGCAUGUGAAGAGCUCAAGGCUACUCUACAGAGCAAGCCAUGGAUCUCGCACAACAAUAUCAUCAUUCUUCUUCAUCAAUCUCUGGAAACAAACUGUGUCUUGAACUCAACACUUUUAUGUUCUACUUUUGCUGCUUUAUUACUACUACAAACUUGGCAAGAUACAACGCAUCUUCAAGAAUGAAUCUGCUAUAAAUAAAACAAAUGCGGUAUUUUCCAUGAAAA